rnacentral:rRNA from 1 species
GACGAACGCUGGCGGCGUGCUUAACACAUGCAAGUCGAACGGAAAGGCCCUGCUUUUGUGGGGUGCUCGAGUGGCGAACGGGUGAGUAACACGUGAGUAACCUGCCCUUGACUUUGGGAUAACUUCAGGAAACUGGGGCUAAUACCGGAUAGGAGCUCCUGCUGCAUGGUGGGGGUUGGAAAGUUUCGGCGGUUGGGGAUGGACUCGCGGCUUAUCAGCUUGUUGGUGGGGUAGUGGCUUACCAAGGCUUUGACGGGUAGCCGGCCUGAGAGGGUGACCGGCCACAUUGGGACUGAGAUACGGCCCAGACUCCUACGGGAGACAGCAGUGGGGAAUAUUGCACAAUGGGCGGAAGCCUGAUGCAGCAACGCCGCGUGCGGGAUGACGGCCUUCGGGUUGUAAACCGCUUUCGCCUGAGACGAAGCGUGAGUGACGGUAAUGGGUAAAGAAGCACCGGCUAACUACGUG